rnacentral:rRNA from 1 species
AGGGGAAACACCCGUUCCCAUCCCGAACACGACGGUUAAGACUUAAGCGGCCGAUGGUACUAUGCUGGAGACGGCAUGGGAGAGCAGGUGGGUGCCG